rnacentral:rRNA from 1 species
CGCUGGCGGCGUGCUUAACACAUGCAAGUCGAACGAGAAUCUACUGAAAGAGUUUUCGGACAAUGGAUGUAGAGGAAAGUGGCGGACGGGUGAGUAACGCGUGAGGAACCUGCCUUGAAGAGGGGGACAACAGUUGGAAACGGCUGCUAAUACCGCAUAAGCGCACAGUACCGCAUGGUACAGUGUGAAAAAACUCCGGUGGUAUGAGAUGGACCCGCGUCUGAUUAGCUAGUUGGUAAGGUAACGGCUUACCAAGGCGACGAUCAGUAGCCGACCUGAGAGGGUGACCGGCCACAUUGGGACUGAGACACGGCCCAAACUCCUACGGGAGGCAGCAGUGGGGAAUAUUGCACAAUGGGGGAAACCCUGAUGCAGCGACGCCGCGUGAGCGAAGAAGUAUUUCGGUAUGUAAAGCUCUAUCAGCAGGGAAGAAAAUGACGGUACCUGACUAAGAAGCACCGGCUAAAUACGUG